rnacentral:rRNA from 1 species
AGAGUUUGAUCCUGGCUCAGAUUGAACGCUGGCGGCAUGCUUUACACAUGCAAGUCGAACGGCAGCGCGGGGGCAACCCUGGCGGCGAGUGGCGAACGGGUGAGUAAUGCAUCGGAACGUAUCCUGUAAUGGGGGAUAACGUAGCGAAAGUCACGCUAAUGCCGCAUACGCUCGAGAGAGGAAAGUGGGGGAUCGCAAGACCUCACGUUAUAGGAGCGGCCGAUGUCCGAUUAGCUAGUUGGUGGGGUAAAGGCCUACCAAGGCGACGAUCGGUAGCUGGUCUGAGAGGAUGAUCAGCCACACUGGGACUGAGACACGGCCCAGACUCCUACGGGAGGCAGCAGUGGGGAAUUUUGGACAAUGGGCGAAAGCCUGAUCCAGCCAUGCCGCGUGCGGGAAGAAGGCCUUCGGGUUGUAAACCGCUUUAGUCCGGGAAAAAGGGGUGCGAGGCUAAUACCCUGUGUAGAUGACGGUACCUGGAGAAGAAGCACCGGCUAACUACGUG